GGCGCGUUAGUGUAAACGGUCAACAUGCUGCCCUUUCAAGGCGGAGACUACGGGUUCAAAUCCCGUACGCGCUA
rnacentral:tRNA from 1 species